rnacentral:rRNA from 1 species
UACGGGGGGGGCAAGCGUUGUUCGGAAUUACUGGGCGUAAAGGGCUCGUAGGCGGCCAACUAAGUCAGACGUGAAAUCCCUCGGCUUAACCGGGGAACUGCAUCCGAUACUGGUCGGCUUGAAUCCGGGAGAGGGAUGCAGAAUUCCAGGUGUAGCGGUGAAAUGCGUAGAUAUCUGGAGGAAUACCGGUGGCGAAGGCGGCAUCCUGGACCGGCAUUGACGCUGAACAGCGAAAGCUAGGGGAGCAAACGGG